rnacentral:rRNA from 1 species
UACGGAGGGGGCUAGCGUUGUUCGGAAUUACUGGGCGUAAAGCGCACGUAGGCGGACUACUAAGUCAGGGGUGAAAUCCCGGGGCUCAACCCCGGAACUGCCUUUGAUACUGAUAGUCUCGAGUCCGGAAGAGGUGAGUGGAAUUCCGAGUGUAGAGGUGAAAUUCGUAGAUAUUCGGAGGAACACCAGUGGCGAAGGCGGCUCACUGGUCCGGUACUGACGCUGAGGUGCGAAAGCGUGGGGAGCAAACAGG